rnacentral:lncRNA from 10 species
ACAGAACAAUCAUACACAACAAGUUACAAGAAUCUAGUUUAGUAUUUACAGGUGACCAGCAAGGCACGGCAGAAGCUGAGGAUUUAUUGUGGGUCUUUACCCUGAGGCACAGGUAAGUGACACAAGCAGAAUCAACCUUCGGAAGAUCAUCUAUUUCCUGCUGGGUUGACCUGGAAUGUGUGAUAUGACCUAAGUAACUGACAGCCUAUGUGCAGAGUUCCUAAAUAACGAAGCCAGACCAUCAUUGCUAUGGGUGAAGCCAGGAAGUGACUGUGGAUGUGAACAAAUGUGAGAUUCAUGUACACGUCUCCAAAGACAGAGGCCACUGAUCUGGGGAGAACCUGCAGUCAUUUCACUUUCCCAUACCCAGAUGAGAGGACACCUUGAUCUGUGUUCAUCUGAUGAACUCUAAAAUCUGGACCAUAUUCUGAAGGUGUAGUUCACACUUCUUUUCUGUGCUAGUGGGACUCUCUCACUGACGUGUAUUGUACCCUCUGCAUAGGACAGUCUGUGAUACAUACUACUUGUUUUCUGCUAAACACCCAUCAAUCAUGUCAUUUAUGAGUCUUCCAUAGGUGUUACCUAACCUAUGGCUAUGGGGUCUUCCAAAAGAAUGGGCCGGAGGUGGAGCUGUGAAACUGUAGCUGGAUAAAAAGUGUAAAUGUCAAGAAAGGGUAUUGAAGUGGUGAUAAUAAUAAUAAUAAUCCAAAUUAGUCUGGGCUCUUGGCUGUGAUUACUGGUAAAUGUGAAAGAGUCUAGGUUUGGUUUUUAUUAGUUUUAUUUCAACUGAUAAAGUAGCCAGAGUAAAGUGCAUAAAUCUUGAAUGUUCAACUGAAUACAGUUUUUGUGUAAUUCAUUGUCCAAAUGGAAUGAUAGAAUAUUUCACAUUCCCUUGUGCUUCCCUCAUGGACAAUCUUUGUCAGUUAUCACCCCUCCCACCCAGCAAAAUUAACUGUCUUUCUGACAUCUAUACAAUCAUUUAGGUUUUCCUGUCUUAAACUUUAUAUAAAUAGCAUUAAGUGUAUUUUUAUCUUUUUAGACUUGGUAUUGCUCCUUACAACUUUUGAGGCCUUCAUUUCUUUCAGAGGAUUCAAGGUCCUGUCUUAUGUCAUUUCCUGUGAUUCUGAAGGAUUUUCUCUCAAAUGUCUUGUAAGAGACAUAGCUGCUAUGAAUGAAUGUAUUUUGUUUAUCAAAUAAUUUUUUUGCUUUUUCUUUAGAUUUGAAGGGUAUUUUCGAUGGAUAUAGAUUUCCUG